rnacentral:rRNA from 1 species
AAUUGAAGAGUUUGAUCAUGGCUCAGAUUGAACGCUGGCGGCAGGCCUAACACAUGCAAGUCGAACGGUAACAGGAAACAGCUUGCUGUUUCGCUGACGAGUGGCGGACGGGUGAGUAAUGUCUGGGAAACUGCCUGAUGGAGGGGGAUAACUACUGGAAACGGUAGCUAAUACCGCAUAACGUCGCAAGACCAAAGAGGGGGACCUUCGGGCCUCUUGCCAUCGGAUGUGCCCAGAUGGGAUUAGCUUGUUGGUGGGGUAACGGCUCACCAAGGCGACGAUCCCUAGCUGGUCUGAGAGGAUGACCAGCCACACUGGAACUGAGACACGGUCCAGACUCCUACGGGAGGCAGCAGUGGGGAAUAUUGCACAAUGGGCGCAAGCCUGAUGCAGCCAUGCCGCGUGUAUGAAGAAGGCCUUCGGGUUGUAAAGUACUUUCAGCGGGGAGGAAGGGAGUAAAGUUAAUACCUUUGCUCAUUGACGUUACCCGCAGAAGAAGCACCGGCUAACUCCGUGCCAGCAGCCGCGGUAAUACGGAGGGUGCAAGCGUUAAUCGGAAUUACUGGGCGUAAAGCGCACGCAGGCGGUUUGUUAAGUCAGAUGUGAAAUCCCCGGGCUCAACCUGGGAACUGCAUCUGAUACUGGCAAGCUUGAGUCUCGUAGAGGGGGGUAGAAUUCCAGGUGUAGCGGUGAAAUGCGUAGAGAUCUGGAGGAAUACCGGUGGCGAAGGCGGCCCCCUGGACGAAGACUGACGCUCAGGUGCGAAAGCGUGGGGAGCAAACAGGAUUAGAUACCCUGGUAGUCCACGCCGUAAACGAUGUCGACUUGGAGGUUGUGCCCUUGAGGCGUGGCUUCCGGAGCUAACGCGUUAAGUCGACCGCCUGGGGAGUACGGCCGCAAGGUUAAAACUCAAAUGAAUUGACGGGGGCCCGCACAAGCGGUGGAGCAUGUGGUUUAAUUCGAUGCAACGCGAAGAACCUUACCUGGUCUUGACAUCCACAGAACUUUCCAGAGAUGGAUUGGUGCCUUCGGGAACUGUGAGACAGGUGCUGCAUGGCUGUCGUCAGCUCGUGUUGUGAAAUGUUGGGUUAAGUCCCGCAACGAGCGCAACCCUUAUCCUUUGUUGCCAGCGGUCCGGCCGGGAACUCAAAGGAGACUGCCAGUGAUAAACUGGAGGAAGGUGGGGAUGACGUCAAGUCAUCAUGGCCCUUACGACCAGGGCUACACACGUGCUACAAUGGCGCAUACAAAGAGAAGCGACCUCGCGAGAGCAAGCGGACCUCAUAAAGUGCGUCGUAGUCCGGAUUGGAGUCUGCAACUCGACUCCAUGAAGUCGGAAUCGCUAGUAAUCGUGGAUCAGAAUGCCACGGUGAAUACGUUCCCGGGCCUUGUACACACCGCCCGUCACACCAUGGGAGUGGGUUGCAAAAGAAGUAGGUAGCUUAACCUUCGGGAGGGCGCUUACCACUUUGUGAUUCAUGACUGGGGUGAAGUCGUAACAAGGUAACCGUAGGGGAACCUGCGGUUGGA